UGGGUCAACAGAAUUUGUAGGUAGUGAACC
rnacentral:piRNA from 1 species